rnacentral:lncRNA from 10 species
GCCUUCUCCCUAAUGUCUUGGCAAUCAGCACUCAGCUUCUUUUCAUUCAAGUAUCUGAAGCCUCCUUGAAUUUUUCCCCUGAAAAUGGGCUUGUCUUCCUUUUCCACACUGCCAGACUGUGACAAAGAUAGCUGAUAAUGUAGAAGCAGGUUCAGAAGCGGGUAGCAGAUGUAGUUCGGGAGAGUUUGGAGGACUUCAAAGACAGGGAGAUGAGGGAAAGUUUGGAUCUUUGUAAAGAAUUGUUAAAUACUUGUGAUCAGAAGACUCAUAGGAAAAUAGACAGUAAGGAUCAGAUUGAGAAGCUCUCAGAUGAAAAUGAGGAACUUACUGCAAACAGGAGCCAAGGUGACUUUUGUUUUGCUGUAGCAAAGAACAUGGAUGCACAGUGACCCUGCCCUGGAGAUCUGUGAAACUUUGAAGUUGAGGGUGAUGACUUACUGCGUAUCUGAUGGAAUGAACUUCUGGGCAGCAAAGCUCAAGGGGUGUCCUGUCUGUAUCAAACAGCCUGUGCCCUUAUGUGUGACUGAGGAAAUGACAUCUGGAUGGGUCUUACAUUAAAUGAGUCUCAACUCUUAUAUUAAAUGAGAAACAGAACUCAAAAAUUUGCAGCCUGGCCAAGUGGUCAAAAAGAAAAGCUGAUUUUCAGGGGAAAACUGAGGAAGCCUUCAGAAAUUUGCAUGAAAAGGAGCCCAGUGCUAACAGCCAAUAAAAUAGGGAAAAGGCCUUGAAGCCAUUUCAGAAACCUUUGCAGCAGCCCUUGCUAUCAUAGGCUCUGGGGCCUAGGAGAGAAGAAUGGUUUCCUGGGCCAGUUCCAUGAUCCCCCUCUGUGUGCAGCCUCAGGACACUGCUGCCUGCAUCCCUGCAGCUCUAGUUCCAGCCAUGGCUGAAAGAUGCACAGGUACAGCUUGCAUCACGCUUCAGGGGUGCAAGCUUCAAGCCUUGGUGGCUUCCACAUAGUGUUAAGCCAGCAGGUGCACAGAGCACAAAACUAGAGGCU